UUCUCGAAAAAACAUUUUGGGCUCGGCUUACGCCUUGCCCAAUAUGCAUUUUUUCAAGGACCCUUAUAUUUCUGCAUUACCCCUCUAAGUGUCUACAUAGCUACAAAAAAUAAGUGUGAAAUCAGAGAAAAAAAAUUCCUUAAAUAUAAUUCAUUUAGUAGAUAUAUCAUUUGAGUCUAAAUACCGAAAGAAGAAAAGAGAAAAUAUAUAGGGAAUUGGACCUACAUAUAUAUAAAACUCCUGCAUCCCUAGUUAGGCGUUAAACAGAUUGAGUUACCCUGGCCAAUAUUCACAGUUGAGUAAAAUCAUAAAAAAAACACAUAAUAAUUCAUAAGCACAACUUAGUUGAUCUUACAGUUAGAGAAACAUAUAGGCAGCACAAAGAAAAAUAAAUUAAUUUAAAAACAUUUAUUUAUAUAACUUACAUAUAUUGAGAAAAGAAUUGGAAGUUGAAAUAGUUUUACGAUUGAAUGAGUUUUAUUUUUAUAUACGAACAAGGAUUUGUCACAGAUACCAGAUGUAGGAUCUUUUGAUGUCUUAGUUUACCUCAUGCAGAAGUGUCGGUGGAGUUCUGCAUGUGUAUUAAAUUACAAGCAAGGCAAUCAAUGGUUAUUAUCUUCAUAUGGAUAUAUUGGAGCAUGUAGUAUUGUGUUGCCUUCAUUUUCUCAUUGUCCAAGUUUUCUGUGAAAGGCACAGAGACCAAAGCACCGAGGCCUAUACAAAAAUUCCAUACCAAGUGAAAUAAGCAAGAUAGAUAGAAGAUUGAUCAUACCCAACAACCAUCCAUUGUGCCCGCAUUGUAUAAUAUCCACACAUAAAGCGUGCUGGUUUUGAGAUACACACAGAAACUUAGACAUUUAAGAGCAUUGGCAAUUAAUUUUAUUACAAUGUAUAGCAUUGAGUAUUGAAUCAUUAUACAAUGUACAUAAAGAGUAGCUUCAAUUUUAUAACUUUUAACUACUGUGGUUUCAUAAAUUUUCAUUGGCCUCAAUUUUCGUGGAUUUUGUAAAACAUACGUUUUCGAGGAUACGUAAUUUCGUGGACAAAAGCAUUGCCUGUACAAAUGAAUGUCAUAUUUCGUAAUUCAAUGAACAUUUGAAUUCGUGGAUCUGCUCAAUAAUGAAACCCACGAAAAUUGGUGCUCAACGAAUAAUGAUGAAACCACAGUACUACUUUCACUUCAGGACGGUUUAUGUUUGAAACUUUGUAGCACUAAUAGUACAUAAAGUAUUUCUUAUAAGCUACAUUUAAUUUUAAAAGAUAAAGAAU